rnacentral:rRNA from 1 species
UUAGUGAGGUCUUCGGAUUGGCUUUGGGGAGCCGGCGACGGCACCCUAUCGCUGAGAAGUCGAUCAAACUUGGUCAUUUAGAGGAAGUAAAAGUCGUAACAAGGUUUCCGUAGGUGAACCUGCGGAAGGAUCAUUAUUGAAAUUAUAGGUGAGGGUUGUAGCUGGCCUCUCGGGGCAUGUGCACGCCCGAGCCCUUAAUCCACACACACCUGUGAACCUAUUGUAAGGGCCCUUAAAAAAGGCCUUUACGUCUUAUCAUCAACCCAUCGUAUGUCUCAUAGAAUGUAAAUAUAUGUCCUCGCCUUAAAAAGCGUUGAUAAACUUAUACAACUUUCAACAACGGAUCUCUUGGCUCUCGCAUCGAUGAAGAACGCAGCGAAAUGCGAUAAGUAAUGUGAAUUGCAGAUUUUCAGUGAAUCAUCGAAUCUUUGAACGCACCUUGCGCUCCUUGGUAUUCCGAGGAGCAUGCCUGUUUGAGUGUCAUUAAAUUCUCAACUCUGAUCGAUUUGUUUCGACUUCGGAGCUUGGAUUUGGAGCGUGCUGGCGUCGGUCGGCUCCUCUUAAAUGCAUCAGCGGAAUCUAACGUUUCGGACGUCAGUGUGAUAAUCAUGUUGCGCUGUCUGUCUGAUCCGAAAGCCCGCUCACAAUGGUCUUCGGACAACUUCAUAUCAAANNNUUUGACCUCAAAUCAGGUAGGACUACCCGCUGAACUUAAGCAUAUCAAUAAGCGGAGGAAAAGAAACUAACAAGGAUUCCCCUAGUAACUGCGAGUGAAGCGGGAAAAGCUCAAAUUUAAAAUCUGGCGGUCUUGCGGCCGUCCGAGUUGUAAUCUGGAGAAGCGUUUAUCCGCGUCGGACCGUGUACAAGUCUUCUGGAAGGGAGCGUCGUAGAGGGUGAGAAUCCCGUCU